UACAGAGGUCUCAAGCGUUGUUCGGAUUCAUUGGGCGUAAAGGGUGCGUAGGCGGCGCGGUAAGUCGGGUGUGAAAUCUUGGAGCUUAACUCCGAAACUGCAUUCGAUACUGCCGUGCUUGAGGACUGGAGAGGAGAGUGGAAUUCCCGGUGUAGCAGUGAAAUGCGUAGAGAUCGGGAGGAACAUCAGUUGCGAAGGCGGCUCU
rnacentral:rRNA from 1 species